UACGUAGGAUGCAAGCGUUGUCCGGAAUUAUUGGGCGUAAAGAGCGUGCAGGCGGUUCGUCAAGUCAGAUGUGAAAUAUCCCGGCUUAACCGGGAGGGGCCAUUUGAAACUGACGGACUAGAGUGGAGCAGAGGAUAGUGGAAUUCCCGGUGUAGUGGUGAAAUGCGUAGAUAUCGGGAGGAACACCAGUGGCGAAGGCGACUAUCUGGGCUUUAACUGACGCUGAGGCGCGAAGGCCGGGGGAGCAAACAGG
rnacentral:rRNA from 1 species